GUAAGGGUAUUUUGGUCAUUUAGUUAUUAAAAUGAAUUAAAAACAAAAUUAAAAGCCAAUUUUUGUCCAUCUUCUUCAUUAGGCAAAAAUUUCAAGGGUUCUCCAUAGCUAGGGUUUGUUUCAAGCUUCCAAGCUCCAUAAUAAGUGAUUCCAAGCCCCGUUUUUAAUGUUCCUUACGUUUUUGGAAUCCCGGAAGCUCG
rnacentral:lncRNA from 1 species